ACACACACACACACACACCCACGCCCUUCCUUGAAGCCAUGGCUGAAACUUGAAGAGAAAUCCUGUACAGGAGAAGGAUUAGAAGCACUCUUGGGUACAACUAAGUGGAUCAAACUACCUUUGUUUCCAUAGUGUGUUGAACCAUGCAAUUAAAGAUGAUUCUAAGUGGGAAUUUUUGGAAGUAGAAAGUGGCUGCAUGCUAGUGAAAUUGUGCACUGUUUUUACAGAAUUAAGGCCCAUAUUGCAUGAUGAAUUUUAGUACUGAAAAUAACUCUGUUAGUCAUGCAAAUAUGUGGAAGAGUACCCAUGUAUAUUUAAAUUAAGAUGAAAAAGGUUUUGGGUUAAUAUCUAUUUUAAUUUGGAAAUUAUUAGUCAUUUGUUAAGGGGUGUCAAAACUACUGUGAAGUUCCAGGGAAAUUAUAUGACUUUGUAAUGAACCUUUGACUGGCCAGAUGUUAUCCAAUUUCUUUCAAAACAAUUUUAUUUGAAAUAUGUCGUGUCUAAUUAAAUCUUGAUGUUUAAAUCAUGUUGAAACUCCAUAUAGAUUGGCAGUUAUGCCUCUGAUAGUGUGGACAUCUUACUGUUAUCUGUCAUAAACUGUUGUAAUUUCUAGAAACUGUUACUCAUGUUGUGUUGAACUUUUAACUAUUCAAAUGGAGUCCAAUUGCUUUCCAACCACUGAAAUUUGAAAUAUGUAUAUGUUUACGCCAAUUUUGGUUUUCAAAUCAUCUUGAAAUACUUUCUAGAUUGAAAGUUAUGCCUCUGUUAAAAGGGACAUGUGACUGUUAGCAAAUUGCAGCAGAUUUUAGAAGUUCAUUUCUGUUACCAUGAGCUUUUGCCUAACCAAGUGGAGUCCAAUUGCUUUCAAUCCACGUCGAUUUGAAAUAUGUAUGUGUUUACUCAAAUUGUUUUUUUAAAAUCAUCUUGAAAUAUCUUUUAGAUUGAAAGCUAUGCCUCUGUAAAGAGGAAUAUGUCACUGUUAACAAAUUGCAUCAGAUUUCAGAACUUCAUUUCUGUUGCCAAGAGCUUUUGACUAACCAAAUAGAGUCCAAUUGCUUUCAAAUCACUUCCAUUUGAAAGAUAUGUGUAUCCACUUUGAAAUUGGUUAUGAAAACACAUCAAAAUUUCGUAUAAAUUGAAAGCUACGCCUUUGUUUAUGAGACAUGUUACUAUCAGAAAUUGCAGAAAUUUCGAAACUGUAUUCCACUCAUACACUGAAUUCUUGAUUUGACCAAAUGAUGCUCACUAAUCUGCCAUGAGAUACUGAAAAUAUAUGCUUAUGAUACUAUGAAUGUUCGUGAAUUCUUCAAAAUAACAAAGAACGAGCAAAUGAAUGCUUGACCAUGCACGUACACAGUGCAAUAUACUGUAAUACUGACCACUGCGUAAUGAGUCACUCAUUAGUAGUGGGACACUGUGAUACUGUGACUGUGACUGUGAUAUACUGUGAUACUGACCACUACGCAAUGGGUCACCUAUUGGUAAUGGGAUACUAUGAUACUGUGAUUGAGAUAUACUGUGAUACUGACUAAUAUGCAAUGGGUCACCCAUUGGUAGUGCGAUACUGUGAUACUGUGACUGUGAUAUACAGUGAUACUGACCAAUACACAAUGGGGCACCCAUUGGUAGUGGUAUACUAUGAUGCCAGCAAUUAUUGACUGUGCCCCAACUUCAAUGAUAGGAAUGGUGUCAGGAGGUGAAACUAAAUAACAGGGAGGGUCGUGCCCCCCGAAUUUAAAUGGGCACUACGUAGUGUAACACCCUCUCGCCUGAAGGCAUGAGGAGAGGGUCAUGUCUUGCAAGGCCACUGCCUAUCGAAAACCCCAAGUGCGAUGGGGAGUGUGUGCGUGAGUGAGGACAUUAUGAAAUGGGACACCCAUUUUUCAUUGACCUCCCUCCUAAAUGAAGUUAGAAGUUUCAAGUUACAACAUUGUCUUAGCCUGACCGAUGUGACUUCUACUUAGGGAGUAGACGACUCUAAUCUUUUCCUGUGUACUUUGUGUGUUUUUUCAAGGUACUGACCUGUUACUAUAAUAAGAGGAGAAAUAGUUGUUAGCUCAUGCAAUAUGUGCUGCCCUAAUCUCAAAAUCAUACUUUGUUUUACACUGCUAAUGAAUUAUGAUGCAUGACUAUACUUUGUGAUGCCUGUAUGAAUUGUGGGUUAUAUCAUUAUAUCAUUACAUAUGUAUAGGACGAAAUGCAAUGUUACUGAUCUACUUACUGAGCUUUUAGCUCAUUGCUUCCAUUUUUUUUCCAUCUGUAUAGAGUGAUAACCAAUCAUUCAAGAGUGGAUAGCUAGACAGUGGUGGCAAGCAUUUAAAGCUCAGGACUUGGCAAGAGAAACCUUUUGAUAGUAGGUGUCUGGUGGCAGUGCCACAGAGUUGUUUCGAUGUAAUACUAUAAUUUUGUUGUCAGGCCUGUAGCGCCUUGAAUAGAAUUGCAAAUAAUUUUUGGAGAAUG
rnacentral:lncRNA from 1 species